CAAGUCUGAUGGAGCAACGCCGCGUGAGUGAUGAAGGUUUUCGGAUCGUAAAACUCUGUUGUAAGGGAAGAACCAGUACGUCAGGCAAUGGACGUACCUUGACGGUACCUUAUUAGAAAGCCACGGCUAACUACGUGCCAGCAGCCGCGGUAAUACGUAGGUGGCAAGCGUUGUCCGGAUUUACUGGGUGUAAAGGGCGUGUAGCCGGGAAGGCAAGUCAGAUGUGAAAUCUGGAGGCUCAACCUCCAAACUGCAUUUGAAACUGCUUUUCUUGAGUGUCGGAGAGGUAAUCGGAAUUCCUUGUGUAGCGGUGAAAUGCGUAGAUAUAAGGAAGAACACCAGUGGCGAAGGCGGAUUACUGGACGAUAACUGACGGUGAGGCGCGAAAGCGUGGGGAGCAAACA
rnacentral:rRNA from 1 species